CCUACGGGUAGCUGCAGUGAGGAAUAUUGGUCAAUGGACGAGAGUCUGAACCAGCCAAGUAGCGUGAAGGAUGACUGCCCGAUGGGUUGUCAACUUCUUUUAUAUGGGUAUAACAUGUUCCACGUGUGGGAUUUUGUAUGUACCAUAUGAAUAAGGAUCGGCUAACUCCGUGCCAGCAGCCGCGGUCAUACGGAGGAACCGAGCGUUAUCAGGAUUUAUUGGGUUUAAAGGGAGCGUAGGUGGAUUGUUAAGUCAGUUGUGAAAGUUUGCGGCCAAACCGUAAAAUUGCAGUUCAAACUGGCAGUCUCUAGUACAGGAGAGGUGUGCGGAAUUAGUGGUGUAGCGGUGAAAUGCUUAGAUAUCACGAAGAACUCCGAUUGCGAAGGCAGCUCACUGGACUGCAACUGACACUGAGGCUCGAAAGUGUGGGUAUCAAACAGGAUUAGAUACCCGGGUAGUC
rnacentral:rRNA from 1 species